rnacentral:rRNA from 1 species
AACGAACGCUGGCGGCAUGCCUAACACAUGCAAGUCGAACGAGACCUUCGGGUCUAGUGGCGCACGGGUGCGUAACGCGUGGGAAUCUGCCCCUUGGUUCGGAAUAACAGCGAGAAAUUGCUGCUAAUACCGGAUAAUGACGUAAGUCCAAAGAUUUAUCGCCAAGGGAUGAGCCCGCGUAGGAUUAGCUAGUUGGUGUGGUAAAGGCGCACCAAGGCGACGAUCCUUAGCUGGUCUGAGAGGAUGAUCAGCCACACUGGGACUGAGACACGGCCCAGACUCCUACGGGAGGCAGCAGUGGGGAAUAUUGGACAAUGGGCGAAAGCCUGAUCCAGCAAUGCCGCGUGAGUGAUGAAGGCCUUAGGGUUGUAAAGCUCUUUUACCCGAGAUGAUAAUGACAGUAUCGGGAGAAUAAGCUCCGGCUAACUCCGUGCCAGCAGCCGCGGUAAAGUGACU